rnacentral:rRNA from 1 species
AGGAACGCGAAGAACCUUACCAGGUCUUGACAUCUUUUGAUCACCUGAGAGAUCAGGUUUCCCCUUCGGGGGCAAAAUGACAGGUGGUGCAUGGUUGUCGUCAGCUCGUGUCGUGAGAUGUUGGGUUAAGUCCCGCAACGAGCGCAACCCUUAUGACUAGUUGCCAGCAUUUAGUUGGGCACUCUAGUAAGACUGCCGGUGACAAACCGGAGGAAGGUGGGGAUGACGUCAAAUCAUCAUGCCCCUUAUGACCUGGGCUACACACGUGCUACAAUGGAUGGUACAACGAGUUGCGAGACCGCGAGGUCAAGCUAAUCUCUUAAAGCCAUUCUCAGUUCGGACUGUAGGCUGCAACUCGCCUACACGAAGUCGGAAUCGCUAGUAAUCGCGGAUCAGCACGCCGCGGGGAAUACGUUCCCGGGUCUUGUA